CCUACGGGAGGCAGCAGUGAGGAAUAUUGGUCAAUGGGCGCGAGCCUGAACCAGCCAAGUCGCGUGAGGGAAGACGGUCCUAUGGAUUGUAAACCUCUUUUGUCGGGGAGCAAAAGACGCCACGCGUGGCGUUCCGAGAGUACCCGAAGAAAAAGCAUCGGCUAACUCCGUGCCAGCAGCCGCGGUAAUACGGAGGAUGCGAGCGUUAUCCGGAUUUAUUGGGUUUAAAGGGUGCGCAGGCGGAAGAUCAAGUCAGCGGUAAAAUUGAGAGGCUCAACCUCUGCGAGCCGUUGAAACUGGUUGUCUUGAGUGAGUGAGAAGUAUGCGGAAGGCGUGGUGUAGCGGUGAAAUGCAUAGAUAUCACGCAGAACUCCGAUUGCGAAGGCAGCAUACCGGCGCUCAACUGACGCUCAUGCACGAAAGUGUGGGUAUCGAACAGGAUUAGAUACCCUUGUAGUC
rnacentral:rRNA from 1 species